rnacentral:lncRNA from 1 species
UCCUGAGCGGGAGAAUCGGUGUAGGGACGUUGUGGGGAUGCCGGCUGUGGCCAGAUCAGGUCCAGCUACAGAAGAAUGAAGACUCCACCUGAGGGCUGGAAAAACAAAACCUCAAGUGUGAGGCAGCCAACCUGUUACCUCGAGGGACUGUCCCGCAGCACAGCGGGGCCAUGGGAACAGCAGCAGACACCCCGGCCUCCUCGCUACCUGUGUGUGUAUUAACGCCCCGGCCCCCUCACUACCUGUGUGUGUAUUAACGCCCCGGCCCCCUCGCUACCUGUAUCAACUAUGGCCUGAGUAUGAUAGACUUAUCCAUGGUUUAAACAGAAUAUAUUGUUUUCAACUUUGAAAAUAAGAAUAUGGAAAUCCAGAUGCAGAAAUGUGAGAAGAAAAGAGAGUAAACAGAGUGGAAGGUCAGGUGACCUUGCCUGUCAUGAAUAUGAAGGUCAAGGUGUGUGAAUUGUGAAAUUUCCAAGAGAACCUCACUGAAGCAAAGAAUGGAGAAAGAAUCGCAUUUGGCCCUGGGAGCGUGCAGGGGUGAAUGGUGCAGGAGCUAAAUCUUUAUCAUACCCAGAAAUCAACAGCCACUAUUUGAAAUCAUCUAAAUUCGUGCUGCUAACCUUCAGUGUACACACAAAUCACCUGGGGAUCUUAUUAAAAGCUAGUUUCUGAUUCACUAAA